UUUUAUGGCUGAUUAAUGUUCCAUUGUAUAGAUAUACCACAUCUUCUUUAUCCAUUCAGCUGUCGAUGGACACUUAGGUUGCUUCUGUAUCUUGGCUGUUGUGGAUAGCAUUGCUAUGAACACAGAGCUGCGUGUAUCUUUUCACAUCAGGAUUCUGUCUAGCACAUCCCUUUGAUUUUGUUCUCUGAGUAGCACUCACUGUUAUCAGAUAUUUUCUUGUGUAUUUUUUAAUGAUUAUUAUCUAUCUCUCACCCACAGGGGGUCAACUUCAAAAGGAUGAUCUUGUGUCUCUCGUUCACUGCCACAUCUGGGGCCCUAAAUCACUGACCUGCGUGUAACAGAUGCUCAGGAAACUUGAAUGACUAAAUGAAUAGGCAAUGACAUAAAAUUGGCACCUCACCUUUCUAUCACAUAAAAAAAGAUUUUAUUUUUAUCAUGUGCAAAUUAGCUGGUGAUUUUACUUACUCCUCCUCACUCAAAAAAUUGCACUGGCGUGAUAAAAGGACAAUUACAUCUUCUGUUCCUCACGAAAAACCUAAGGACAUCAGAGAGGACUGACAUGACUCCAGCUGGAUACAACACAAGUAAACCUUCAUUCAGGGGUGUUUCUUAACCUGGGUCACUGUAUGAUAUCCAGUUGGCAUUUGGAAAUCUUAAAACUGUGCACAGACCCAUAUUACAGUUCUCACAAUUCCGGGCGGGCAUGAUUGACUCGAGGAGCUCCAGCUGACACCCUAAAAUUCAUUAUCAAGCAUUUCAGAGCCUUUGUUCAUCCAGCCGUCCUGGUAUGGAACAGGCACUGUGCUGAGCAUGGCUGUCCAAAGACACACGAGACAGUCUGGCCUCAAGGUGACCAUGGGGGGAGACUGAGAUCACAAUCAGCAGUAUUAUACCCUGUGAUUCACGCAGUGAUAGAGCUGGCAGCAGAACACGCUGGAAGGAAACCGAAUAUAAUCUGCGACAGUCAGGGUGGGGAGCUGCCUGGAGGAGGCAUUCUGCUCGUUGAAUGUUAACGGAUAGAGGAAUGGAAUGGGGGUAGCUGGGAGGAGAAGACAGCAAGGGGACAGGCACGGGGGAGACACGUCCUGAGUACUCAGAAAAUGAGAAGCUGCUGUGGGAGCAGGAAAGAGUGGGAAGGAGGGGGUGAGCCAGGCAGGAGGACGCAUCUGAUGUGAUGCUGCACCCCAGCCCAGAGGACCAGCUCCUUUCGUGUUCCUUCCGCCCUCCUGUCUCUGAAUCCUGCCCAGGACCUAGGUGCCUGCUGUGCGAGAGCCAGGAUCCAGAUUCAUGAAGAACAGGGGAGCAUUUUUGUUACUGCUGUUCAUUCCUUUGGGAAGAAUUUUUUGCCUACCUUGGAGAAUCUGAAGCCAGUUGCCAUGUCAUGAGAUGCCCUGCGGAGAGGCCCACACAGCAGGGACCUUGUGGAGGCCUCUGGCCAACAGCUACGGGGAACCUGAGACUUGGCAACAGCAGGGGAGUGAACUUGGUAAAGGAUCCGCCCCCAGAGUCAGCUUCAUGGGACCCCGCAGAGGCAGCAGCACCCCACCCCCCACUUGGAGACUGGAGUCCCAGCGGCCGGAACCCGUCGUCGAGUUUCUAAAUUGGCAUCAUUUCAGUCUCUCCCUUAUUUCUCGAGCACCCCCAGCCUAAGAGGCGGCUGCCUCGCAGAUGCUGCCUCCGCAACCCCUUUGAGUUCUCCGGGGCCUCUGCAGUUACCUCCUCAACAAGCCUUCCGCCUACAUCGUCUCUCUUGGAAAAGCAAGCCGCCGUGAUUUCUGUCUCCUGCGUGGACCCUGGCGGACACGGCCCUUGGCAUCCACACCUGGCCUCAGGCCUGCUCAGCGUCUCCUCUCCGGACCGGCACGCCGAACCCUCCACGGGAAGCCUGCUGUCUCCGUGCCCCAGGCUCCUGCGUCUCCUCACCCCCGGCCCAGCCCUACCCUCGGGGGAGGUGAGGACCGCAGACAGGCCAACCCCAGAGCCGGUGACAAAGAGGGCUGAGGCAGGGGGGAGUCAGCGCAGAGAGGCGGCAGCCCAGCGCUGGCAGUGCUGUGCCCGGUGUGUCCAGCCUCAGUGGGAACCACAGGGGCUGCAGAGAGCAGGGGACAACAGGCAGCAAGCGCUGACCACCCAUCUGGGAGACAGUUCAGUGCAGUUCAGUCGCUCAGUCGUGUCUGACUCUUUGCGACCCCAUGAACUGCAGCAUGCCAAGCCUCCCUGUCCAUCACCAACUCUCGGAGUCCACCCAAACCCGUGUCCACU